GUGUUUACGGAGGAUCCGUAUCUAAUAUUGACUGGUUUUUAAAAGUUAAAAUACAAUAGUUCGAUAUAAAACCUGGAUUACUAUCUACAGAUAAUAUUCCAGGUUUAGAUCGUGUUUUUGAGUUACAUAUUAAGCAUGGUACCAUAUGCCACAAUGUAUUCAAAAAUGAGAACAAACCAAUCUGAGGGAUACACAAUUUACACUGUGUUAGGGGCGAGAAAUUAUUCGUUAGGUUACAAAUUAUCUACAUGACGUAUCUUCCUGUCUAAUAGAACAGUUUGGUAAAAGUCAUAUUCUUUCUACUCCUGGUCUGGAAAAAUUCGUGAAGACACACUACUAGGGAGUAUCCGUCGCUAUUAAUUGUUUUUCUUUUAAGUCAGAACACUAAGUUACUAACUUUUUUAAGUCAGAAAUUUCGAUUUAAAACCGAGAUUACUAUCACCAGAUAAUAUUCCAGGUUUAGAUCGUGUUCUUGAGUUACAUAGGUGUGGCACCAUAUGCCACAAUGUAUUCAGAAGUGAAAACAAAUGAAUCUGGAGAAUAAACAGUAACACUGUGUUAGGGAGCGAGCAAUUAUUCAUUAGGCUACAAAUUAUCUACAUGACGUAUUCUCCUGUCUAUUAGAGCAGGAAUUUCGUUUGAAAUAAGUCGUAUCCUUUUUAUUCCUGAUCUGGAAAGGUUCGUGAUACCAUAGAUAUAGUUACACUAUAGAUACUAUAGUGAAACGACGAUAUAACGCAUAUUAGUAACUCAAAAAAUACGAUCGCAACGUAUAGGAAAACAUUAUGGGUCAGCAAAUUUUUCACGUUUUAAAUUAAAAAAAAAA
rnacentral:lncRNA from 1 species